GACGAACGCUGGCGGCGUGCUUAACACAUGCAAGUCGAACGGUAAGGCCCUUCGGGGUACACGAGUGGCGAACGGGUGAGUAACACGUGGGUAAUCUGCCCUGCACAUCGGGAUAAGCCUGGGAAACUGGGUCUAAUACCGAAUAGGACCACAGGACACAUGUCCUGUGGUGGAAAGCUUUUGCGGUGUGGGAUGGGCCCGCGGCCUAUCAGCUUGUUGGUGGGGUGAUGGCCUACCAAGGCGACGACGGGUAGCCGGCCUGAGAGGGUGUCCGGCCACACUGGGACUGAGAUACGGCCCAGACUCCUACGGGAGGCAGCAGUGGGGAAUAUUGCACAUUGGGCGAAAGCCUGAUGCAGCGACGCCGCGUGGGGGAUGACGGCCUUCGGGUUGUAAACCUCUUUCACCAUCGACGAAGGUCCGGGUUUUCUCGGGCUGACGGUAGGUGGAGAAGAAGCACCGGCCAACUACGUG
rnacentral:rRNA from 1 species